AGGUACCCAAAGGGGGCCACCUAAAGCUGCAGCCCUAGGCAUGGGCCCUCAGGCAUUAUAAUGUCCAUAUAUUGAUAUAUGACUGCAGUAGCAGUGGAAAUGCAUUGCUGGGCUAAUACUACUAUACAUUCUAAAAUAAAAGCUGACAUUAGUUCCAUGGGAUACACAAGUUAAUCUGGAUAUAGAGCAGCUGUUUCUUUCUAUUUCCAGUUGGUCUGAUUCUUUUGGUGCAACUGACCUGCAGCAACUUAGACUCCAUUAACAGGCAUGUCUGUGCUCGGAACAACAGAAGUAAGGCAGCAGCACCAUGUACAUCUAUAUGGUACAAGGAACAUGUGUUGAUGAGAUGAGAUUUUUCACGCAACUGACUGCUGGAAAGGUUAGCUGUGAUGCAUAGCCCCAGGCUUGGCACAUGCACAGUAGAGUAAAAAAGCUGGCUUGCACUUGCACCCUAGAUGAAAAGAUGGAAAAAACAGAAAAAAGAUCAUUCAGUGGAGCUUCCUUAAAAGGCCAGAGCAGUUUUCUGCUAACAGAUGCUCCAGAAAUACAGAACAUGCAGAGGGCACAGAGUUCCAUUGGUUCUCCAAGUAUCCCAGAGCUGCCAAUGGUUGGCAGGUUGUUAAAGUUUGCCUGGGAGCAAUAAAAAAAGUAAUUUUAUAGUAAUUUUAGCAACUUAUCUGCAAGUGUUAUGUGUAGCAAUAGUAUUGGAAAAGCUCCUGUUCAGAAUGUUGGCCAUUGAAAUGUGAGAAAUAAAUAUAUUUCAAGGUA